rnacentral:tRNA from 1 species
GCCUCGUUGUCGCAUUAGGCAGCGCGUCAGUCUCAUAAUCUGAAGGUCGUGAAUUCGAGCCUCACACGGGGCA